rnacentral:rRNA from 1 species
GACGAGCGCUGGCGGCGUGCUUAACACAUGCAAGUCGAACGGAGAUUCAGCAAUGGAUCUUAGUGGCGAACGGGUGAGUAACGCGUAGGCAAUCUGCCUUCUAGAUGGGGACAACAUCCCGAAAGGGGUGCUAAUACCGAAUGUUGUAUGAUCUUCGCAUGGAGAUGAUACUAAAGGUGGCCUCUGAAUAUGCUACCGCUAGAAGAUGAGCCUGCGUCUGAUUAGCUAGUUGGAGGGGUAACGGCCCACCAAGGCUUCGAUCAGUAGCCGGUCUGAGAGGAUGAACGGCCACACUGGGACUGAGACACGGCCCAGACUCCUACGGGAGGCAGCAGUGGGGAAUCUUCCGCAAUGGACGAAAGUCUGACGGAGCAACGCCGCGUGAGUGAAGAAGGUUUUCGGAUCGUGAAGCUCUUUCGUUAGGGACGAACGUGCUCUUUGUGAAUAAUGAAGAGUAGUGACGGUACCUAAAUAAGAAGCCACGGCUAACUACGUGCAAGCAGCCGCGGUAACAC